rnacentral:rRNA from 1 species
GUGCCAGCAGCCGCGGUAAUACGUAGGGGGCAAGCGUUGUCCGGAUUUAUUGGGCGUAAAGCGCGUGUAGGCGGCCAGAUAGGUCUGCUGUGAAAACUCGAGGCUCAACCUCGAGACGUCGGUGGAAACCAUCUGGCUAGAGUCCGGAAGAGGAGAAUGGAAUUCCUGGUGUAGCGGUGAAAUGCGCAGAUAUCAGGAAGAACACCUAUGGCGAAGGCAGUUCUCUGGGACGGUACUGACGCUGAGACGCGAAAGCGUGGGGAGCGAACAGGAUUAGAUACCCUGGUAGUCC